AGCAUCAUCGGAAUGUCGUUGAACGGUUGCAACAUGUUUGAACGGUCUCCGCGCUCGCUCGUCCAUUUGUGAACAAAAGAGGCCGUGAUUUUGCGUCGUAUGGGCGGCUGCAGUCUUGCGUCCCGUCAGGCUCUACUUUGUUGAACACUAAGCUGGACACAUAUCUCUCCAGCGCUUCAGAGACGUCGCUGGCGCCGAAAUUCCAGCUGUUUCACCGUGGGUCGCCAGAAGUACAGCAGAUCAUUUACUGUCAAUUGUGCGACGCGACACUAUGUGGCACGAAGGAUGUGUACGUAUGAAAUACGUAACUACUGUGUGCGCGGGAUGUUUUGUAUGAUUGUGUCGACACUGGAUACCACUUUCAAGGUAUGCAU